CGAAGCUUAAAAACAAAUCUCCGCGUUGUACCCGGUACACUUUGCUUCUCUCUCUGUUGGCCGACGUCUCUCUAUCUGUAUGUGUCUCACCGUUCCUCUCGACGAACCGGCGGACACGCGAGAGAACGUAUCACAAUGCCUAACGAGUACCCUCGUGCUUGAUGCGUCUCGCGCCGGACUACGUACUGCCAUGUUUCUAAAGACACACCGAGUGCUUGUUCUGCUAAGCGCUUCCCUAUUUUACUGUUUCGCUUGUUACCUUCGUUCUUUUUUUUUCGGAUUCUCGAGAACUUUUUCUCGUUAUGUCCUUUUGGUCGUUUCUUCGAGGGAUUACGCUUUAACGAUCGUACGUGGGAACUGCGAGAUGAAACGUUGCAAUGGGCAGUGGAAGAUUUCGGUGAAAUAAUAUUUUGUUCGUUGUGUUAAUUUGUUGGAGCGUCGAGAAUUUGUUCAGUCACUUUGGAAAGAAAACACCGCUGCGUUGUUGAUAGCUGCAUUUUACUCGUUACGAUAUAUUUUCGCAGAACGCGGACAAUUUCUUCGGUCAUUUUGUUCGUAAUUACGACAGUUACGUCUGUAAUGGAAUGGUAACAAUAUACGAGAGUGGAGAUUCGUGUGCAGCGAUUGAAAAUUUUAAUAUCGUAUUUUAUAUUCGUUAUGAUUUUUUUCUAGACUUUUCAUGCCGUAUAACGAAUGAGAAGUAAUACGCGACGAUCGAAGACUUUGAAAGGUUUUACAAAGCAAUUGUGUAAACCUUUGUGUGGUUUCAUAGAGGGAACAUAUGGCUCUGUAAAAAUUGAAAAACUGUGAAUCGAUUGUUUAAACACGAUCUAAUCUUCGUUCCAUAAAUUCUAAAUAAAACAAAAUUGCUAUACCGAAGGUGUUUUGUAUUAAUAGCGUUUCAUAAUCUGUGAACUACGAAAAGUAGUCCAUAAAAUGAAGAUACUAUCUAAAUAUAUUUACAAUGAAAAUUAAAAGGAAUUUUAAUUAGGCAGACUUUUUAACAUUUUGACACCAUUUUACAUCUAUAUAAUUUGGACAAUAAAUUAAAGGAAAUCUUUAUGUCUAUCCUCGUGCAGUUAAUUACAUUUAUAUCGUAUUAAUAACUAUUAAAAAUGUGAUUUGUAUCGUUUUUCUAUUUCGCUAGUGUUAUUGGAUAUAUUUUCAUUCGAAGCAAACGGCGGAAUUAAUGUUGAACGAUAAAGCAGCGUGGCAAUGCAAAAUUCCCGGUAUCUCUCGGAAAACUAACUCAUCGGAGCGUACAGCGGCGAGGAAGCACGGUUGAAAUGAUAUUUCUCGUUGCGCCUCUCCUACGGGAUCCUCGUGGCGAAACAUGGCGUCUUCGCGUACAGACGAACGGCCACCAUAAAGGUUCAAAACGAAGGACGAGCGUGGCAUUUAUGUGGUCUAAGGGUUUCGAUUGACGUUUAAAAUCUCGUUGAUUCUAUAAAUUAAUAACGCGUCGGCAAUUAUAAAUAUGCAACAAAAUUUGAUCAAAAGCAAUCGAAAUUGUAGUAAAAGAACAGACCACAGUACUAUAUAGAUAUAUACGCAGAGUUUAUGGUUAUAAAUUAGUAUUGAUGCGCCACCGAUGGAAAUGAAAUUUCAUGAAAGGCUAAAGAAAAUGUAAAAUAUGCAACAGCGCUGUAUUGUUUAAUGAAAUUAAACUGAGAAGAUAUAUCUAUCUACCAUUACAUUAUAAAAUACAUAUUCAUCAAAUUCUUCGCUAAAAUGGACAUGUGCAUUUCUUUUUAAUAAAUUUACUGUCGAAUAACUAUGUAAAAUGUGUUUAUGCUACGUUAGCAACAACAAUAAUUUUGCAAUAUGGACGUGAGAUAUUUGUAUUUUUUGGAAAAUGCGUUGAAUGUGUAUUGAAUGAAUUAAAACAUGCAUUUUAACAAUAUCUGCAAUUAAAAUUUUUUUCAAUACGAACACGAGGUACCAUCGGGGAAUAAUUAAUGCGGACGCUUUCAGGAAAUAAUUAAUAUUGACAUUAAUAAAAACCAUAUUUUAGAGGAAAAGUAUCAGACGAAAACACGGAAGCUUUAUUUUCUCCGUCAAUUAAAAUGUUACACAAAAGAGCUGUCGCAUUCAAAUAAUAAAAAGCUAUUCGUUCCAAAUUGAUUUCGUACACAUAUCUACAUACUUUUCAUUUGGAUUUUCACGACGAAUUCUAGAGAAUACUUUAAUUAUUCGUUCAAUUGGAAGAACAUUUUCAUAUGUAUCAAAAUAAAUUUGCUCGCUAAAUGAAUAUAUUUUCAUCUUCUUGUCGCCAAAAAUAUAUCAAACAGGCCACAAACGACCAAUAUUGAAAUUAUUACGUAUCGUAUCUCGGUGGCAAAUAAGUAUCGAUUUCAUACGUAUGAACUUUGCUGCCUGUAUCCAAUCACAUUAAAAACAUUUUCCAUUAAAUAACAGCAGCAAUAAAUUUCGAAAAUUGGUAGAACAUUCGUUUAAAACGUUAAAUUUCAUUAUUGGAAUAAAAAUAUACGAUUAUAUA